AGGUCGUAGAUGUGUUCCUAGCGAGAGUUUGACAAAAUUUGAGUGGUUUGGCACUUUGAUGCAGUUUAGAAGUUCAGAUGACCUGCAUCAUAAUGUAUUGAAAAAGCAUUGAAUCUUGACAGUCACUUUCAUUUGAUUCAUCCGAGGUGUAUGCGGGUUCAUUUAUUUUCCUUCUAAAGAUGGAGAAAUCAAAACAGGAAUGCUUGAGUCAGCUUUGCAGAAUUGUGCCAGUAAGUCAUCAAUGUCAUCUUCACAGUUGCCUUGUGAUGAAUUUAAGAAUGAACUAAAAAACAGCUUCCUGAAAGCACGGGUGAACUGGAUGGAGGUCGGAUUGUCGCUGUUGCCACCCUGCUGACGAAUUGCUCCAAAAAAGUUCACUAUUGGGUGUAUUAUUGGAUAGUAUAGCACUUGUUUGGCAAGAAAAAUCUGAAGUUUGGCUUUCUGUACUAGGCCCACUUUCAUCAACUUCGUGCAAUGGUGAAUGUUUAUCUGGUGGCUCUAAACAUAAACUUAAGAGUAAUAACUAAUUUAAAGUGGUGACCAAAAGCUUGAGAUGGAAAAUAAAAUGCAAAAUGAAUAACUUUAGCUAUAAUUACAUCUCACCAAUACUAAUGGUCAAGAAUUAGAACUGAAAUAGUUUCCCAAGUAUUUUUGGACUCAACAAUGAAAUCAUACAAUAGAACUUCUCAUACCACCUUUCCUUUUUUCCUGAUCUUUAUCCAUUUUAGAUUUUUGGCUGUAAAAUAAAUUUGUUAAAAUUUGUCUAAUUUCAUCUUGAAA